CCGUACGAGCACGCACGCGCGCCGACCUGUGGAAGGAGAUGCCGCGGUUGCGUGUCUCGCGCGUGUCCCGUGUGCAGCAGCCGGCGGCGGAGCAGUGACGCGGCAUCUGGGGAAGAAGCGGGAGCUAAGUCGAGGGCGGCUGUCCGGGCCCGGAGGAGCCUCGCGCCUCUAGCCUCCCCUCCGCCCCAGGGGGCCUUGACUCGUCCGGUCCCCCAGGGCCAGAUCUCGCCCCAACCCUGUCCCGGCCGGUUCUCUUGACUCCGGUCAGCGGCACUCACGGUCUCGCCAUUGCUGCGCUGCCGAAGUCUCGCGAGGUGUGGCGGGCGGCGGAAGUUGGUACCAUAGAGACUCUGGAGCGGGCGGCGCUCGGGCCGAGGGGCGGGGCAGGAAGCGGUCCUGGCAGGCUGGCUCCGGAAGCGGCGGGAGCGCGGGAAUCGGCGUCGCGCCCUCGUCUACCAAGCUUCCCGGACUGCCAGCGCUGUCGCCCGCGUGCGUUUCCCGUUGUCCUUUCAAAGCUCUUUUCUCUAACCACCCAGUCGCAGAUAGGGCGGCCCCAGGGAGCGGAUGCGCGGCGGCGAGAACCGGCAGUGCCCCUGGAGCCUCGCCAGCCGCGCGGGCGACAGCCCGCCCGGGAAGGCCCCUGACAGAAGAGACCGCACCGAGAACACGGGGGCCGGGACGCUCGCACUAAAGAACCGACAAAACCCCGUGCCCAAAACUAACUCCCGGGUAUCACAGACGAGGACUUGAGGGUGGGCUGGUGGUGGCCCCCGUUUACACUUGGGGGACAUGCGAUGGGCAGGUUCCAUUGAAGCCACAUGCGACAGGAACGUGACAGAGCUGGGGGAAAGCUAAAGAAACCCAAGGAAAUGGAGUAUCGUGAAUUGGGGUCGUGCAGCCCUAGGACACAUGCUUGGGGUGACUGCCUCCCUGACCCGUCCACUUCCCACGGGGCUGAAGAUGAAAACAGCUGCUCUGCUUAAGGAGGAAUCCACUUGGAAAAGGCAGGUUAUCUGGAGGAGGAAUUCUGUCAAAAUACAGCCCAGGGGACAGAUGAUGUCUCAAUACAGAAAUUUUAAUAGCCUCGGCUUCCACGGAAUCCACGCCCACCUCUUCGUAAUCCUUCUCCAGAGCCGCCAGGUCCUCGCGGGCCUCCGAGAACUCCCCCUCCUCCAUGCCUUCUCCCACGUACCAGUGCACAAAGGCCCGCUUGGCAUACAUGAGAUCGAACUUGUGGUCCAGGCGGGCCCAGGCCUCGGCGAUGGCGGUGGUGUUGCUCAGCAUGCACACGGCCCGCUGCACCUUGGCCAGGUCUCCCCCUGGGACCACAGUGGGGGGCUGGUAGUUAAUGCCCACCUAUGGGAAAAGGGGAUCAAAGCAUUCGAUGAAGCUUAUAUCAAACCCAGAGAUAGUGGUACUUUAUCUCAAACAGAACACAUGCUGCAGGUGCCCUCUGGUGACCAGAGAGAAGCUCAGUUCACCCCACAAAAGGUCAGUGAGCCCUUCUCUGUGCCAGGCAGGGUGCUGGGACAGCAGUGAUGGGUCAAGGAAAGAGCAGGGAAAGAGGAGCCUUGGAGACAGCCCCCCCGGCUCCGUCGCAAGCUACCUGGAAAGCUGUGUCCUAGCAACUGUGACAUACGAUAGCUGCCCAGUUGAAGGGACUCUGUCUUCCCUCUGAAAACGUACACGGCCUUGUCUUCGCUGUAGAUUAUUUACUCCAUAGGCUUUAACAAAAUAGGGAUGAAUUUCUAAAGCCGGAACUUCUUCCACCCAGAUAGAUUCAGGGUAUACAACUGAAUCUAUGUGCCCCUUUCUUGGCUGGUAGAAUUUAGUGUGGCAAAUGUAGGGUAAAUGUGGAAAUGUAGAAAUUUUAAGGGUGUUUUGGUGAUUCAUGUGAAUAGUGUAGAUAUUUUAACUUGGGCAUUAUUACCAACUGACUGGUGUCACUAAGUCCCCCUUCAUUCUAUAGAUGUAUAGAAAUUAAAUCAAAUUUAAAUGUCCUAUGGUGUGUUUGAUUUAAAGAAAAGCUAUCAUGAAUCUUUUUGUGACAAGAAUGGCAACAUCUUUAUUUCUCUGGUAUCACAGGGAAGAUUUGCCCACGAUGGCUGACCUGCCGAGCAAGCCACUGUGGGCAAAUGCAGAAGUCACAGAUCAACCGUCAAAGGUCAUGUGAAUGCUGCCACCACAGCAGCAGAGGUGAUCAAUGUGCCUGCUCACCUGGGGUGGAGGUGACAUUCCAAGUCCACCGACAGCCGCUCCAUGAGCAGAGAUGCAAACCCAGAGCCGGUGCCGCCCCCAAAGCUGUGGAAGAUGAGGAAGCCCUGCAGGCCCGUGCACAGAUCCGCCUGAGAGAAACCAGACAACGUCAGCCAAUGCCUGUGGAGGCCACGCCACCAACCCCCAACAAGCCACAGUCACCUCUCUGCCUCUGCAAGUUGAUACGGAUUCAAAUCGUCCACAGUGAACACGCGUUACACUUGGAAGCCAAGAAGGCAGAUGAUAAAGAACUAUGGAUGCAUCGCAACACACGCUUCACAGCUGGUCCAAGACUUCCCAGAACCACCUCCCCUUCCCAAUCCAAGGCCUCCCCUCCCAUCUAGGACAACAUCUAUAAUGCAUGAAGCCUUCUAGGUGCUCCUCUUACCAGUUUGCGGAUCCGGUCCAGGACCAGGUCGACGAUCUCCUUGCCGAUGGUGUAAUGGCCUCUGGCAUAAUUAUUGGCUGCAUCUUCCUUCCCGGUGAUCAGCUGCUCCGGGUGGAAGAGCUGCCUGUAGGUCCCUGUGCGCACUUCAUCUACAAAUAGAUCGAGUGUGCUCUGAGUCUUUAAGGUCUAGGGUACUCACCAAGAUGGACACGUCCAGGGACUGUGCACCUCUACAGAGAACAUGCUGUUCCUUGGAGGUCAACUGUGGGAGUGUCUCGUAGGAAAUGUCUCCACGGGGUACACAAGCCACAAACCAUAAAGAGAAAUUGAUGGCUCUAGGAAGGUGAAGUUAGCUUAUGGCACAAAUGCCGGCAGGACCAGUUCCCAGCGAAGGGAAAUAAGCUCUCACACCCCCGUGCAGGUAAUUCUACACGUACAUAUUUCUUUCCUACCCAUAGCUACAUCAAAGAGUGUAAUUUAAAAAUCCCUCACAAACUGGGCAGUCACCAGGUCAGAGUGACUUCUGCAGGAUAGUCCUAUCAGGGCACCCUAUGUGGCCUGGGUCUCACAGGCUUUCAAGUGGCAUUCUGUCAUCUGGGAGGCCACUGAAAGGUGGUCUUCUCCUUGCAACCUACCUCAGGCUUCUAAUCUAGAGGAACCAAAUGAAUGUUCUGUAGUUACCUUUUUAUGUCUGAGAUGCAGGUCAAGACUCCCAUGCACUCGCAUGAGAGUGUGCACAGCAUCAAGGAAGGAACCAGUGGCCACGCACCCUGCAGGUGGGGUCCACUGCAGCCACCCGACCAGGCCUGGGCAUCCAGAGUGACUCUCUCCAGACUGCUGGCAAAGCAGCUUUUCCUUGCAUGUCGGGUUUUCCUCAAUUAGAAGCCUGGGUCUCACAGACACACGAACCUUUCAGUUUCUCUCCUAACACCGUGGGCAUAUGCUUGUCCAUCCUGCCCUUUCCACAGAGGGACUCAAAGGAGCCCAUGUGGGGCUUUAUCCUGCCCCAGGAAAGCUGCCGUCCAGUGCUCGAGCACCUACCGACCACGGUGGGCUCCAGGUCCACAAACACUGCUCUGGGCACAUGCUUGCCAGCCCCAGUCUCGCUGAAGAACGUGUUGAAGGAGUCAUCCCCGCCACCGAU